CCGUUUGACAGGCGGCUGCUGUUCGGUUUGUGUCAGGAUUUUGAUUUCUCGUCAAAUUUUCUCGUCAUGUCGCGGUUUGGGCGACACGGAGGAGAGACAAAGGUAUAUGUGGGUAACCUGGGCACAGGUGCUGGUAAGGGCGAGCUGGAGCGGGCCUUUGGGUAUUACGGGCCUCUGAGGUCUGUGUGGAUCGCUCGCAACCCAGCCGGAUUCGCUUUCGUGGAGUUUGAAGAUCCCAGAGAUGCAGAGGACUCAGUGCGGGGCCUCGACGGCAAGGUGAUCUGCGGCUCUCGUGUGCGUGUGGAAUUAUCCACCGGGAUGCCGCGACGCUCCCGAUAUGAUCAUCCUCCCUCCCGCAGACCCUUCGACCCCAACGACCGCUGCUAUGAGUGUGGAGAGAAAGGACACUACGCCUACGACUGCCACCGAUAUAGCCGCCGCCGCAGGACCAGGUUUCAUCGUUUGAUUCAGAGAGUCACGAUCCUUUACGAUUUCAUGAGGCAUCUAGCAAAUCCCACACGUUCGAUCGCCUGCUAUGACCGGGGCAUGAGCAGCCACACCCCUGCGCUGAGGCUCCUCCCACUGCUACUUAACUAUGCGUAGCCCCUCCCCCGACCCGAACCAGAUGAGAGCGCCAAUCCGAGUAAAUUCGGCUAGUGAUAUGAGCCUUCGCUUUUGCUAAAGAGAACAUCGAGACCUCGACAGACCACGAGCCGCCUAGAAAAACACUUCUAUCAAGUCUCAAUCAAGCGAUUUGGCUGUCCGUGCGGUCAUCGUUAGAAAUCCACCAGAUCGGCUGAUGAGGUUGGCUGAUCAUAGAUACUUCUAGAUCGUCUAGAUCUGCUAGACCUCGGUUCCAAAGAGGGUCGACCUGCAAAGUUGCAAGGUUUAUUUCAAAUACCAAUUAAUGUGUCUCUCUGUAUUUCACUGCCUGAAGGCAAAUCAGUCGUAAUGUUUAAUGCUGUAAACACUAGUUAACUACUGCUGGAUGCUGCAGACUGCUGGGCUGGCCCAUAUAACACCAUCUGAUUACGCCGUCUAUCUUUACGCUUAUUUUAGAUCUGUCAUUUGACCUUUUUAUUUAGAAGAUUCACCAUUUCAGACGGCCAUUGUUGCUUGUUGGAUUAAAAAAUGUGUAUUACUAUUGGAGUGUGAGUAUUGAAUAUAGUGAUAUGAAUUAUGAAUUGAUUAACUAGUCAGAAUGUGUUGAUAUAUCCCCCAAUGUUUGAUUUAUAGUAAAACAUAUAUAUAUUCAACAUUUAUGUAUAAGUAUAUCAAAAUUAUCACAUUUUAAAUGUUAAACAUUAUUUCCUAAGUGCUGUUUAAUGGGGAUUUAAUUUAAUAACUCAUCUCUAAUCACUGAUUUAUUUUCUCUUUGUCAUGAUGACAGUAAAUAAUAUUAGACUAGAUAUUCUUCAAGAUACUAGUAUUCAGCUUAAAGUGACAUUUAAAGGCUUCACUAGGGUAAUUAGGGUAAAGUUAGGGUAAUUAGGCAAGUCAGUGUGUAACAGUGGUUUGUAAUUAUUUGUAAUAUUUUGUCUAUAUUUACAUUUAGCUUUAAACUUCUGAUUGUUUUUAGAAUCGGAGGUUUAUUAUUAUAUCUAACCAUCCUUUGUGAGCGGUGUGUGUUGAGAGCGAUGUGACGGAGCUGCUGUUGUAUGGUCCAGCCCUGUAGUGUAGCUGUAGUGUAAUUGUGUAAAUUGAUUGUGUAGAUUAUCUGAGUCAGUGUCAUUGUGCAUCUGUAUUGAUGUGUGUGUGUGUGUGUGUGUGUGUUUCUGUCUGCUGUUGCUCUGGACUCUGGUAGGUCUCGAUCCCGCUCACACUCCAGAGGCAGGAGAUAUAGACGCUCACACAGCCGCAGCAGAGGGAGAAGGUCCAGAUCUCUCUCUCCUCGCUCUCGCUCU